GACGAACGCUGGCGGCGUGCUUAACACAUGCAAGUCGAACGGAAAGGCCCUGCUUUUGUGGGGUGCUCGAGUGGCGAACGGGUGAGUAACACGUGAGUAACCUGCCCUUGACUUUGGGAUAACUUCAGGAAACUGGGGCUAAUACCGGAUAUGAGCUCCUGCUGCAUGGUGGGGGUUGGAAAGUUUCGGCGGGUGGGGAUGGACUCGCGGCUUAUCAGCUUGUUGGUGGGGUAGUGGCUUACCAAGGCUUUGACGGGUAGCCGGCCUGAGAGGGUGACCGGCCACAUUGGGACUGAGAUACGGCCCAGACUCCUACGGGAGGCAGCAGUGGGGAAUAUUGCACAAUGGGCGGAAGCCUGAUGCAGCGACGCCGCGUGCGGGAUGACGGCCUUCGGGUUGUAAACCGCUUUCGCCUGUGACGAAGCGUGAGUGACGGUAAUGGGUAAAGAAGCCCCGGCUAACUACGUG
rnacentral:rRNA from 1 species